rnacentral:piRNA from 1 species
UAUGACAGGUUAUUUCCCAAAGUGCA